rnacentral:rRNA from 1 species
AUUGAACGCUGGCGGAAUGCUUUACACAUGCAAGUCGAACGGCAGCACGGACUUCGGUCUGGUGGCGAGUGACGAACGGGUGAGUAAUGUAUCGGAACGUGCCCAGUCGUGGGGGAUAACGUAGUGAAAAUUACGCUAAUACCGCAUACGAUCUAUGGAUGAAAGCGGGGGAUCGCAAGACCUCGCGCGAUUGGAGCGGCCGAUAUCAGAUUAGCUAGUUGGUGGGGUAAAAGCCCACCAAGGCGACGAUCUGUAGCUGGUCUGAGAGGACGACCAGCCACACUGGAACUGAGACACGGUCCAGACGCCUACGGGAGGCAGCAGGGGGGAAUUUUGGACAAUGGGCGAAAGCCUGAUCCAGCAAUGCCGCGUGCAGGACGAAGGCCUUCGGGUUGUAAACUGCUUUUGUACGGAACGAAACGGUCUCUUCUAAUAAAGGGGGCUAAUGACGGUACCGUAAGAAUAAGCACCGGCUAACUACGUGCCAGCAGCCGCGAUAA